GAAGACCUGAGGUAUCAGGGGUAGGGGUUGCUCUGCUUGUGUAAGUCCCAUAGUGUGAAGGCCAGAGAACCAAGAGAUGGUCAAGAAGAGAGACAAGACCAACCCCGCCUCUUCCUUCUCCUUCUCGACCUACUCAAAGUAAAGAUGAGGAUGAAGACCCUUAAGAUGAUCCACUCCCACUUAAUGAAUAGAGCAUCACGACCUGUGCAGACUCCCCAGCAUCAUAACAGGAAGGUCCCACGAUCACGAGCACAUUGCCUUCAGCAUCCAGCACUGAAUAUGGUGAAUUGCACUCUGAAGAGCUUCCUAAGCUUGUAAGAAAGUGAUUCUGAAAAGCUCAACAUUUUGGUAGAAUGGAGAGAUUUGACAUUGCUUCUGCUCCAAAAGCAAAAGACUUGGGAAGGGCACCCUGGGAGUUGAGAACAUCCACCACAGAGAGGCCUGGCGUAAAGGAGAUGGGACUCACACCCAAGAGGAUGCAUUUCCAUACACCCAUUUCUGAAAUAUGAAGAGGUGUCCAGUCUGUUUGAUUCAUAGCUGCCUGUUCCACAACUGCAGAUACAGUAAUUGAUAACCGAGACCAAGUUCUCAUCCCCAUCUCCCAGGGCUGGAACUGGGGCUGUGUUUGGUUCUCAUAAGAUCAGUUCCAGUUUUAGAAACUGAGUAAAUUGUGGAGUAAAUAUUGCCAAGUGAUGGCUUUCUGCUGUAGGCGUGGGUCGCUGUUGGCCAUUUGCCUCAGCAUAUCACCAGCAAUGCACCUCAUUGCAUCACUGCAUUUCCAAUUACACCUCAAAGCACCACUGGUCCCCUGUCCACCCUCUGCCCUGCAGAGGUGGGUGUUCAGGGAGACAGAUCCAAAAUCUGGGCUCAGAAGAUGGAAAUGCCAACUGCUCUCAAUUUGAGAGUGGGGAUGAGACUUUUUGACUCAACUCUGGUUAAUUCAGCCAUGCUGUCAGAGCUGCUUUGAUGCAAGGACAUCUGAAUGCUAUCUGAAUGCUGCCCCUAAAAUAACA
rnacentral:lncRNA from 10 species